rnacentral:rRNA from 1 species
AUUGAACGCUGGCGGCAGGCCUAACACAUGCAAGUCGAACGAGUGGCGGACGGGUGAGUCAUGUCUGGGAAACUGCCUGAUGGAGGGGGAUAACUACUGGAAACGUUAGCUAAUACCGCUUACCAUCGUAUGUGCCCAGAUGGGAUUAGCUAGUAGGUGGGGUAACGGGUCACCUAGGAGACGAUCCCUAGCUGGUCUGAGAGGAUGACCAGCCAAACUGGAACUGAGACACGGGCCAGACGCCUACGGGAGGCAGCAGUGGGGAAUAUUGCACAAUGGGCGCAAGCCUGAUGCAGCCAUGCCGCGUGUAUGAAGAAGGCCUUCGGGUUGUAAAGUACUUUCAGCGGGGAGGCGUUACCCGCAGAAGAAGCACCGGCUAACUCCGUGCCAGCAGCCGCGGUAAUUC